GGUUUCGUGGCCCAAUGGCAAGGCGUCUGACUACGAUAGAGGUUCAUUAUGAGGCUACUGCACUCAGUAAUGAAUGCUUUACGAUAAUCAGGAGAUUCUGGGUUCGACCCCCAGCGAGAUCA